GGCAUGGAAUCCUGUGGCAUCCUACUGUCAACUCCAUCAUGAAGUGUGACAUGGACAUCCGCAAAGAGCUGCAUGCC
rnacentral:pre_miRNA from 1 species